UACAGAGGCCUCAAGCGUUGUUCGGAUUCAUUGGGCGUAAAGGGUGUGUAGGUGGCGCGCUAAGUCGGGUGUGAAAUUUCGGAGCUUAACUCCGAAACUGCAUUCGAUACUGGCGUGCUUGAGGACUGGAGAGGAGACUGGAAUUCAUGGUGUAGCAGUGAAAUGCGUAGAGAUCAUGAGGAAGACCAGUGGCGAAGGCGGGGCUCUGGACAGUUCCUGACACUGAGACACGAAGGCCAGGGGAGCAAACGGG
rnacentral:rRNA from 1 species